GUCAUGGCAGUAAUGAAGUUCUACCCAAGCUCCAAGGAGGUAAAAGCAGACCUCAGCCCUUCAAGAGAGGAGAUCAAGGAUGUUUAACUGAAAGCUGAAGAAUACACUCUGACAUUGUGAUAACAGUGGUGUGAUGAGGCUACAGACACUUGACCUUAGGCUGAUGACCAAUGCCUUCUAUGGCCCCAAUCACUGAGGGUGGAACACCAGCUCUGGGGCCAGGACACAGGUGACAUCUUCAUGCAGAAGACUGAAAGUUAUAGAAAUGAAUGAAUGAAGAGCAAGUAACCACUGGAGCACAGUAGGCAAGAACUCAGAUCUGAGAACUGACUGCCUUCCAUUCCACUUACUACCUUUAUAUGAACCUAGACACGCACCUAAAUUACCUCAUCUACAAAAUUAAGAUAAUAAUAAUCAUCACACCUCCCUAAUAUGAUGGUUCUGAACAUUGAAUAUCAUAUAGUA